ensembl:lncRNA
CAGACUACGGAAAUCCAGGCCCAAAUAAACAUGCAGGCAUUAAGACUCAUGAUGGUCUGGGAAAGGCACGGUAGUGACUUCCAAAAUCUUUGUUUAAAGUCACACAUUUUGGAAGCGUGAAACUAAGGGGAACAAAUACAUACAAACAGAAAACUGCCUCAGGUGAACACAGAACCGGGACGAUCUGAUAUGCACCGACAGUGAUGCAUCCGAACACUCAACAUCUGGUUGCUGAGACCCGACUAUAUGGUCUAACCCGGGGCUGAUCUGUCAUUAGGUCCAGAGAUGUAGUCGGUAAACACUCACAGAUGAGGGAAGAGCUGCACGUCCCCCACCUUUCAGUAUGCACGUGUGUAUGUGUGUGUGUGUGUGUGUGAGGGGGAAACCCGAUAGGCCUUCUGUAAUCAGUCUUGUUAGUGUCCGUGAGCAGUAGCCCCCGUCUAACCUGCCCUCGGACAAAAACAUGGCAGUGACGGAAAGAAAGGACUUACUCCAAACCCAAAACAGAUGGCUUUAACGGUUGAUUGUGUAUCCUAUUUGUGCCUGUGUGUAUUAAAUGUUUUGCAUUGUAAGUUUCAGCAUUUGAGUCUGUGUUGCUCCAGAGUGAGUCUUUAAACAUUUUCUGAGGGAAUGCCUUGACAGGAUCAAAGCGACGUCAGUGAAUACUACAUGCUUCACUAACAAGACUGAUUACAGAAGGCCUAUCGGGUUUCCCCCUCACACACACACACACACACAUACACACGUGCAUACUGAAAGGUGGGGGACGUGCAGCUCUUCCCUCAUCUGUGAGUGUUUACCGACUACAUCUCUGGACCUAAUGACAGAUCAGCCCCGGGUUAGACCAUAUAGUCGGGUCUCAGCAACCAGAUGUUGAGUGUUCGGAUGCAUCACUGUCGGUGCAUAUCAGAUCGUCCCGGUUCUGUGUUCACCUGAGGCAGUUUUCUGUUUGUAUGUAUUUGUUCCCCUUAGUUUCACGCUUCCAAAAUGUGUGACUUUAAACAAAGAUUUUGGAAGUCACUACCGUGCCUUUCCCAGACCAUCAUGAGUCUUAAUGCCUGCAUGUUUAUUUGGGCCUGGAUUUCCGUAGUCUGUGCAUAUACCUGGAUUACUUAAAAACCAUUUUAUUCACAAAUUA